rnacentral:rRNA from 1 species
GCGGCNUCUUACCAUGCAAGUCGAACGAUGAACCGCUUUCGGGCGGGGAUUAGUGGCGAACGGGUGAGUAACACGUGGGCAAUCUGCCCUGCACUCUGGGACAAGCCCUGGAAACGGGGUCUAAUACCGGAUAUGACUGUCCAUCGCAUGGUGGAUGGUGUAAAGCUCCGGCGGUGCAGGAUGAGCCCGCGGCCUAUCAGCUUGUUGGUGAGGUAGUGGCUCACCAAGGCGACGACGGGUAGCCGGCCUGAGAGGGCGACCGGCCACACUGGGACUGAGACACGGCCCAGACUCCUACGGGAGGCAGCAGUGGGGAAUAUUGCACAAUGGGCGAAAGCCUGAUGCAGCGACGCCGCGUGAGGGAUGACGGCCUUCGGGUUGUAAACCUCUUUCAGCAGGGAAGAAGCGAAAGUGACGGUACCUGCAGAAGAAGCGCCGGCUAACUACGUGCCAGCAGCCGCGGUAAUACGUAGGGCGCAAGCGUUGUCCGGAAUUAUUGGGCGUAAAGAGCUCGUAGGCGGCUUGUCACGUCGGUUGUGAAAGCCCGGGGCUUAACCCCGGGUCUGCAGUCGAUACGGGCAGGCUAGAGUUCGGUAGGGGAGAUCGGAAUUCCUGGUGUAGCGGUGAAAUGCGCAGAUAUCAGGAGGAACACCGGUGGCGAAGGCGGAUCUCUGGGCCGAUACUGACGCUGAGGAGCGAAAGCGUGGGAGA